rnacentral:rRNA from 1 species
CACGUAGGGAGCAAGCGUUGUCCGGAUUUAUUGGGCGUAAAGAGCUCGUAGGUGGUUCGGUAAGUCAGGUGUGAAACCUCCAGGCUCAACCUGGAGACGCCACUUGAUACUGCUGUGACUGGAGUCCGGUAGGGGAGCGUGGAAUUCCUGGUGUAGCGGUGAAAUGCGCAGAUAUCAGGAGGAACACCAGCGGCGAAGGCGGCGCUCUGGGCCGGUACUGACACUGAGGAGCGAAAGCGUGGAUAGCAAACAGG